rnacentral:rRNA from 1 species
AACGAACGCUGGCGGCAUGCCUAACACAUUCAAGUCGAACGAGACCUUCGGGUCUAGUGGCGCACGGGUGCGUAACGCGUGGGAACCUGCCCUUAGGUUCGGAAUAACUCCCCGAAAGGGGUGCUAAUACCGGAUAAUGUCUUCGGACCAAAGAUUUAUCGCCUUUGGAUGGGCCCGCGUUGGAUUAGCUAGUUGGUAGGGUAAAAGCCUACCAAGGCGACGAUCCAUAGCUGGUCUGAGAGGAUGAUCAGCCACACUGGGACUGAGACACGGCCCAGACUCCUACGGGAGGCAGCAGUGGGGAAUAUUGGACAAUGGGCGAAAGCCUGAUCCAGCAAUGCCGCGUGAGUGAUGAAGGCCUUAGGGUUGUAAAGCUCUUUUACCCGGGAUGAUAAUGACAGUACCGGGAGAAUAAGCGCCGGCUAACUCCGUG